ACGAACGCUGGCGGCGUGCUUCACCCAUGCCAGUCGCACGGAAAGGCCCUGCUUUUGUGGGGUGCUCGCGUGGCGAACGGGUGAGUAACACGUGAGUAACCUGCCCUUGACUUUGGGAUAACUUCAGGAAACUGGGGCUAAUACCGGAUAGGAGCUCCUGCUGCAUGGUGGGGGUUGGAAAGUUUCGGCGGUUGGGGAUGGACUCGCGGCUUAUCAGCUUGUUGGUGGGGUAGUGGCUUACCAAGGCUUUGACGGGUAGCCGGCCUGAGAGGGUGACCGGCCACAUUGGGACUGAGAUACGGCCCAGACUCCUACGGGAGGCAGCAGUGGGGAAUAUUGCACAAUGGGCGGAAGCCUGAUGCAGCAACGCCGCGUGCGGGAUGACGGCCUUCGGGUUGUAAACCGCUUUCGCCUGUGACGAAGCGUGAGUGACGGUAAUGGGUAAAGAAGCACCGGCUAACUACGUG
rnacentral:rRNA from 1 species